CGGCUGCAGCUGGGCAAUGGAGUGUGGAAUGUGGCUGGGAAAGCCCUACCUGGGCUGGGCCAAGCAGGACAGACAAGCCCUGACUCCCAUACCCCAAACAACUCUCUCAAGGAGACAUUUAAAAGGAAUUGCAAUUGUUUGUGUCCUCUGGUUGAGCUCACUGGAGAAAUACCAGCAAGAGAUUCUCAGGAGCUCCAAACAACCAAACAGCCUUUACUGUCAACUUUAGAAAAUCAGAGAAACUUUGGCAAAUGGUUUAUCACAACAUUGUAGUGGUUUUGCUUUGUUAAUGCUUUUUUACAGCUUAUUGAUGGGUCAUGUCAACUUCUGAGGUAUUGUUUUAAAGGUCUCCACAUGCUGCAAGUGGUUUCCAGCUGUGACCUCCUGUCCAAUGGAGCAUCCAUGGAUGCCACCAGUAUGGCUACAAGGGCUGGGAUUUCAUCUCCUUCCAGCUGGGAUCCAGGAGCUUUGCAGUGUCCGAUGGUGCCACCUGGAUCAGACAGAGGUCAGGCUGUUCCUGCAGGGUCACACAUGCGGCUGAACCUGCAGACAGAAGAGAGAGAAGCCAAGCUCCAAGACAAAGAAAAUGGGAAAAGUGACACAAGAGAAGAGAGAAGAAGGAAAAGGUACAGACAUACA